GACAGAAUCAGGAUCAGAUCACAACCCAGGUUCCUAAACUGAGCUUGGAAGGAAGAGGAAAGAGCUGCAGAGGCGGAGACUCUGACCCCAAAGCGAUCGAGGGCCCUCCCCUGGCUUCCGUGUCCCUGUGGCAGGCGGUGGUGGUCGAAAUCUCUGCCCCUCAGAGUCCUGGGGAGGAUGGAUGGAACAGGAGGAGCAUCAUGAGAAGGCUUCCUGUAAACUACGGAGGGUGAGGGGACGGAGCGUGAGGGAACGUCGUGAGAUGGUGCUCGUGGAAGCCAGCAGAGGGUGUAGGGUCUCCUGGAGCCACAUCUCUGGAGUUACAUGAAGUUGUGGACCUCUCAACAUGGGUUCUGGGAACUGAACCCAGGUCCUCUGGAAGGACAUCGAGUGCUCUUAACCACUGAGCCAUCUCUGCAGCCUAACCCCAUCCCUUGGAGGCUGAAGCAAAGCAAGUUCAAUGACCGUGCGACCUGGCUCUUGUUUGGGCCUAAGGAAAAGCCGACUGUAAGCCGGGAAGCAUCUCUGGCAAGAACAAGGAAGGAUUAAGCACGUCUGUGGUUGUGCGCAGGGAUCACAAGGUGCUCCUGCAGUGGGAAGAGCCACCACUAGGGGCGCUCCAAGUCUUGUAUUUUCUACCUUGAAAACUCGUUUCCCUGUGGCUGCCCUCCAAAUCCAACGGAGAUGAAUGGCUUUUAGUUUACCUAGCUGAUUUAAUAAACUUUAAAAAUAAA
rnacentral:lncRNA from 1 species